CAAAGGUGAGCCAGUACAGGAUGGACCCGCGUCUGAUUAGCUAGUUGGUAAGGUAACGGCUUACCAAGGCGACGAUCAGUAGCCGACCUGAGAGGGUGAUCGGCCACAUUGGAACUGAGACACGGUCCAAACUCUUACGGGAGGCAGCAGUGGGGAAUAUUGCACAAUGGGCGAAAGCCUGAUGCAGCAACGCCGCGUGAGUGAUGAAGGCCUUCGGGUCGUAAAACUCUGUCCUCAAGGAAGAUAAUGACGGUACUUGAGGAGGAAGCCCCGGCUAACUACGUGCCAGCAGCCGCGGUAAUACGUAGGGGGCUAGCGUUAUCCGGAUUUACUGGGCGUAAAGGGUGCGUAGGCGGUCUUUCAAGUCAGGAGUGAAAGGCUACGGCUCAACCGUAGUAAGCUCUUGAAACUGGGAGACUUGAGUGCAGGAGAGGAGAGUGGAAUUCCUAGUGUAGCGGUGAAAUGCGUAGAUAUUAGGAGGAACACCAGUUGCGAAGGCGGCUCUCUGGACUGUAACUGACGCUGAGGCACGAAAGCGUGGGGAGCAAACAGGAUUAGAUACCCUGGUAGUCCACGCUGUAAACGAUGAGUACUAGGUGUCGGGGGUUACCCCCUUCG
rnacentral:rRNA from 1 species